UCUGCUUGUGAACUCUCCUAGCUGGAGCCC
rnacentral:piRNA from 1 species